rnacentral:rRNA from 1 species
GAUCAUGGCUCAGGACGAACGCUGGCGGCGUGCUUAACACAUGCAAGUCGAACGGAGCACCCUUGAAUGAGGUUUCGGCCAAAGGAAAGGAAUGCUUAGUGGCGGACUGGUGAGUAACGCGUGAGGAACCUGCCUUUCAGAGGGGGACAACAGCUGGAAACGGCUGCUAAUACCGCAUGACGCAUUCGGAUGGCAUCAUCUGAAUGCCAAANAGGUUUAUCGCUGAAAGAUGG